CCUACGGGAGGCAGCAGUGAGGAAUUUUCCGCAAUGGGCGAAAGCCUGACGGAGCAAUGCCGCGUGAAGGAUGAAGGCCUAUGGGUUGUAAACUUCUUUUCUCAGAGAAGAAAUUUUGACGGUAUCUGAGGAAUAAGCAUCGGCUAACUCUGUGCCAGCAGCCGCGGUAAGACAGAGGAUGCAAGCGUUAUCCGGAAUGAUUGGGCGUAAAGUGUCUGUAGGUGGCUUAAAAAGUCUCCUGUCAAAGAUCAGGGCUUAACCCUGGGCCGGCAGGAGAAACUCUUAGGCUAGAGUUUGGUAGGGGCAGAGGGAAUUCCCGGUGGAGCGGUGAAAUGCGUAGAGAUCGGGAGGAACACCAAAGGCGAAAGCACUCUGCUGGGCCACAACUGACACUCAGAGACGAAAGCGAGGGGAGCAAAAGGGAUUAGAUACCCCUGUAGUCCUCGCCGUAAACGAUGGAUACUAGAUGUUGGAUAGGUUAAAUCAUUCAGUAUCGUAGCUAACGCGUGAAGUAUCCCGCCUGGGGAGUAGUGCUCGCGAGAGUAGAACGUACAAUAGAAGUUAGACGGCGUGAGACGUGCCGAACGGACGACGACGAGGGAGGUUAGG
rnacentral:rRNA from 1 species